rnacentral:rRNA from 1 species
AGUGCGGCCGCAAGGCUAAAACUCAAAGGAAUUGACGGGGACCCGCACAAGCAGCGGAGCGUGUGGUUUAAUUCGAGGCUACGCGAAGAACCUUACCAGGGUUUGACAUGCUGGUGGUAGUGAAACGAAAGUGGAACGACCCUUCGGGGAGCCAGCACAGGUGCUGCAUGGCUGUCGUCAGCUCGUGCCGUGAGGUGUUAGGUUAAGCCCUGUAACGAGCGCAACCCUCGUCGUUAGUUAUAUGUGUCUAACGAGACUGCCGGUGAUAAGCCGGAGGAAGGUGGGGAUGACGUCAAGUCAGCAUGGCCUUUAUAUCCUGGGCUACACACACGCUACAAUGGCCGGUACAAUGGGCAGCGAAACCGCGAGGUGGAGCCAAUCCUCUAAAGCCGGUCUCAGUUCGGAUUGCAGGCUGCAACUCGCCUGCAUGAAGUCGGAGUUGCUAGUAAACGUGCGUCAGCACAGCGCGUUGAAUACGUUCCCGGGUCUUGCACACACCGCCC